GCUCUUUCCUGGUUAAAAGGAGAGCAGAGGAGGUGUUAGCAUCUGCCCUGGUGCGAAACUGAGGCCUGCUCCUCGAUGUAACUAGAAGGAUGCAAGGAACUAGGAUGAAAUUUUGUCUGCUGUGGCUUGAUUUUAUUUAACACCUUAUGCAUGUGCCUCAAAAAUGAUGUUGGGGAACCCCAACUGCAUCCUCCUAAGGCCCCUCUCUGGGAUAUGCAGGCCUUGGUGGUCUUGUUGGUCAUUUCCUGUGUAAAAGAAGAGACUGGGACACACACAAACAGAGGGAAGACCCCAUCAAGGCACAGGGAGAAGAUGGCAAGCCAAAGAGACAGGUCUCAGAAGAAACCAGUCCUGCUGACACCUUGGACUCAGACUUCCAGCCUCCAGGACUGUGAGAAAUUUGUGCAGCAUGCCUCCAGUUGUGUAAAGAAUGUAAAAGGGAAAUGUCUCAAAACAGAAGAAGACGCCUGUGGGCAGCACCUUCUGCAGAGUGAUCCUGGGAGCUGGAAAGAAGACUCACUUUUCAUUUUACAACCUUGGGCACUGUAAGGAUAUUUUGGGCUUGGUAUGUGUGUUUUGUUGUUGUUGUUUUUUGUUUGUUUUAUUAUACUUUAAGUUUUAGGGUACAUGUACACAACGUGCUGGUUAGUUACAUAUGUAUACAUGUGCCAUGUUGGUGUGCUGCACCCAUUAACUCAUCAUUUAACAUUAGGUAUAUCUCCUAAUGCUAUCCCUCCCCCUCCCCCCACCCCACAACAGGCCCCGGUGUGUGAUGUUCCCCUUCCUGUGUCCAUGUGUUCUCAUUGUUCAAUUCCCACCUAUGAGUGAGAACAUGCGGUGUUUGGUUUUUUGUCCUUGAGAUAGUUUGCUGAGAAUGAUGGUUUCCAGCUUCAUCCAUGUCCCUACAAAGGACAUGAACUCAUCAUUUUUUAUGGCUGCAUAGUAUUCCAUGGUGUAUGGUAUGUGUGUUUUAUAAAAAUAACUUAAUGAAACAUUUUUAAUGUCUCAGAGAUAGUGUGUUCAUGACAGUUCACCUCACUAGCAUCUUCUGAAUCCACUCAUUUAUUCAUCCAUUUGUCCAUUGAUUCAGCAUUUUGGUGGCAGUCAUUUUAGGAAGGAAGAUAUGAAAGCAGAGAAGACAAGGCCCCCACUUCCAGGACAGGAUCCUCAGAGUCUAAGGGGGAAGGCCAUGGGAGC
rnacentral:lncRNA from 1 species